AUUCAAAGCUCGCAAUGCACCGUUCUGAAAACUCUCCAGCGUAGAAUUCAGGAACCCUGAGUUUUCUAUCUCUGUCUAGUUCUGGACUGAAUGGGCUCAAGUCAUCUAGUUAACCUUUCUGGAUCUCAGUCUUUUGAAAAGUGAAGCUAAGAGAUCUAGCAUUCUGCAGAAAAGUACUGGAGAUGACUCAGGACUGAAAAUGAUCAUGAAGCCCUUUGCAAAUAUCAAAGUGGUGAUGAAGCAGUCAUGAACUUUGACCAGAAGCCGUGUUUUGUGGGAUUGACGCUUUAAUCGCUCCUGUUCAUCAUUAGGACUGCAGCCAGAGUGUGGAAGGAGUGACAGCACAGAGGAAGAGAUGGUCCAAGACCAAAGAGGAAAGAAAUGGCAUAAGAUGGGGCAGUGUUCUAUGAUCUCUAACUGGCCAAAGAAAAAUGAGACACAAAUUUAAAAGAAGACAGUUGGAUGACUUAAACACCACCCCUGAGAGGCAGCUGUUUCCAGAAUAUUGCACAAUUUAUUGAGUUCAUGAGAAUUGUGAUCGUUGGCAUGACCGAACUUCACGGAGGGAAUCAUAGGCACUUUAAUUCCAAUUUGUUGACUUAUGGAGGAAGCAAUUUCUCCCAGUGGUGUCCCUUCAUCCAGGAACAAGAGCCAUCAAAGUGUCACAGACUUAGAGCCG